GAUGAACGCUGACAGAAUGCUUAACACAUGCAAGUCUACUUGAAUUUGGGUUUUUUAACUUAGAUUUGGGUGGCGGACGGGUGAGUAACGCGUAAAGAACUUGCCUCACAGCUAGGGACAACAUUUGGAAACGAAUGCUAAUACCUGAUAUUAUGAUUAUAAGGCAUCUUAGAAUUAUGAAAGCUAUAUGCGCUGUGAGAGAGCUUUGCGUCCCAUUAGCUAGUUGGAGAGGUAACGGCUCACCAAGGCGAUGAUGGGUAGCCGGCCUGAGAGGGUGAACGGCCACAAGGGGACUGAGACACGGCCCUUACUCCUACGGGAGGCAGCAGUGGGGAAUAUUGGACAAUGGACCAAGAGUCUGAUCCAGCAAUUCUGUGUGCACGAUGACGUUUUUCGGAAUGUAAAGUGCUUUCAGUUGGGAAGAAAAAAAUGACGAUACCAACAGAAGAAGUGACGGCUAAAUACGU
rnacentral:rRNA from 1 species